rnacentral:tRNA from 1 species
GCCCGGGUGGCGGAAUUGGUAGACGCUCAGCACUUAAAAUGCUGUGACCACAAGUCGUGCGGGUUCGAGUCCCGCCCCGGGCA